UUUCUUUCUAUUACACAAAUUUAUUUGUAAGGUAUCCAAAUAAAAACCGCUGAAAUAUGUAUUUCUACAGGGCAUUGGAGGUGUGAUUGGGUACCACGUGACAUGGCUCGUAAACUCGGCUUGCCAUAUUGUGGGUUCGAGGUCGUGGAAGACUAAAGAUACAUCUCGUAACGUUUGGUGGCUUAGCAUAUUUACAAUGGGAGAGAGUUGGCACAACAAUCACCACGCGUUUGAGUCAUCGGCGAGACAAGGAUUAGAGUGGUGGCAAAUAGAUAUCACUUGGUAUCUCAUUAGACUACUUGAGGUUCUCGGAUUGGCCACUGAUGUCAAAUUGCCCUCGGAAUUCCAGAAACAGAAAUUGGCUCUGAUUCGUUGAUAUCUGAAAAUAUCAUCAAAAAAAUAUAAUUAUGUACUUGUUAUAUAAACAAAAUAACCGAAGUUCAACUAUAAGAGAGUAUAAUUAAUAUUAAAGAGAGAUUUAUAUCUAUAUAAUAUAUAAAUAUAAAUAUGGUUGCAAUUAGCCUUGUAUUGUGUGAUCAUUAUUAUAUCGAAGCAAAAGAGUUUAAUAUU